rnacentral:rRNA from 1 species
AUUGAACGCUGGCGGCAGGCCUAACACAUGCAAGUCGAGCGGAGGAAGGGAGCUUGCUCCUGGAUUCAGCGGCGGACGGGUGAGUAAUUCCUAGGAAUCUGCCUGGUAGUGGGGGAUAACGUCCGGAAACGGGCGCUAAUACCGCAUACGUCAUGAGGGAGAAAGUGGGGGAUCUUCGUACCUCACGCUAUCAGAUGAGCCUAGGUCGGAUUAGCCAGUUGGUGGGGUAAAGGCCUACCAAGGCGACGAUCCGUAACUGGUCUGAGAGGAUGAUCAGUCACACUGGAACUGAGAAACGGUCCAGACUCCUACGGGGGGAAGCAGUGGGGAAUAUUGGACAAUGGGCGAAAGCCUGAUCCAGACAUGCCGCGUGUGUGAAGAAGGUCUUCGGAUUGUAAAGCACGUUAAGUUGGGAGGAAGGGCAGUAAGUUAAUACCUCGCUGUUUUGACGUUACCAACAGAGUAAGCACCGGCUAACUUCGUG